rnacentral:rRNA from 1 species
UACGUAGGGUGCAAGCGUUGUCCGGAAUUAUUGGGCGUAAAGAGCUCGUAGGCGGUCUGUUGCGUCGGCUGUGAAAACCCGGGGCUCAACUCCGGGCCUGCAGCCGAUACGGGCAGACUAGAGUUCGGCAGGGGAGACUGGAAUUCCUGGUGUAGCGGUGAAAUGCGCAGAUAUCAGGAAGAACACCUAUGGCGAAGGCAGCACUCUGGGACGGUACUGACGCUGAGACGCGAAAGCGUGGGGAGCGAACAGG